AGUGAACGUUGGCGGCGUGGAUUAGGCAUGCAAGUCGAGCGAGAACCGUAGCAAUACGGGGACAGCGGCGAAAGGGACAGUAAUGUGUAGGUACCUACCCCGAGGUCUGGGAUAGCUGCGGGAAACUGCAGGUAAUACCGGAUAAUGUCUUCGGACCAAAGGUGUGAUUCCACCUUGGGAGGGGCCUGCAUCCUAUUAGCUUGUUGGCGGGGUAAUGGCCCACCAAGGCGACGAUGGGUAGCGGGUGUGAGAGCACGACCCGCGUCAUUGGGACUGAGAUACUGCCCAGACACCUACGGGUGGCUGCAGGCGAGGAUCUUCGGCAAUGGGCGAAAGCCUGACCGAGCGACGCCGCGUGCGGGAUGAAGGCCUUCGGGUUGUAAACCGCUGUCGUAGAGGAGGAAAUGCAGGGGGGUUCUCCCUUCUGUUUGACCUAUUCUAGGAGGAAGGACGGGCUAAGUUCGUGCCAGCCGCCGCCGUAA
rnacentral:rRNA from 1 species